rnacentral:tRNA from 2 species
GUUUUAAUAGUUUAAAUAAAACUUUGGUCUUGUAAACCAAAAAUAAGAUUUUGAUCUUUUAAAACU